UCUUCUCUUCUCAACUUCUCACGCGCAGGCGGGUGUGCGGGCGCGGCCGCCGGCGCUGCGGGCUCUGCGGUGCACGGGGAAGAAGCGGGAGAGGGGGAGAGGAGGCGGCCGGCACCAGAGAAGGGGAGAGAGGCGGCCGGCGCGAGGCCCGCGCCGAGGUGGAGGGCAUGGGCGCCCCGGCGCUCCCCGCGCGCCACCGCCUGCGCGUGGAGGGGAACCGGUGGCAGCGGGACUGGAAGUUGUCGGAGGCCGCCGCGCGCCUAGGCCGGCGCCGUCUACGUGCUCAACUGCUGGGCUGGCCGCAACUUCCCUCUCCUCAUCCGCACCAGCUCGUAAGAUUUGCUGCCGCACCCAGGUGGAUCAGCUGCCCGACGGAAUGGAGCCGAUACACCCUUAAGAUGGCCGCAAGAGAAAGAAGGACACUUGUGAUGCCUUCCUUCAACAUGAUCCAGUACAAGACUCACAACCACAAAUAAGAUACCAGUAGCUAAAGCUUGCACGGCAUGAGCAUAUGCUCCAGGAAUCGCCAUGGCAGAUAGACUCUUGGGAGGGAUGAACAAGAUUUUGCCACAUUAAGUAGGGCGAUUACUCUACAAGAUUGUGAUGUUUUUUUUUUCAGGAAUACGCAAGGAGCGCAUCUUUGUAUUAAGAGGAGAUUGUGAUGCUGUUGACUCGAGAUUGAGAUGUUGUUGACUUGGAAGUUUUGAUUCACAAAACUACAAUACUUUAGCACUCAAUUCCUGCCCAAUUUUUUCGUACCCUCAGUAAUAAUAGGCUGCAGAUAACUGGAACAGCGCCAUAUGUAAGUUCCAUCCACUGGUGGAAUCACCCUCUGCAGUCACUUAGCUAUCAAGAGUUCAUGGCAAAUCUUAUCGUGAUUCAGCACAUGCUGCCUUUCCAUGUCACCUCAGUAGAUUUGAUCUUAGCACAAAAUGUAUAAGUUCCAUUUGGCAUUUACAAGUCUUCUGGAAUAAGAAAGGAAAAACGAGGACAUCCACAGGCCAAAAAUGAAAAGAAUAUUGUAAACAGUCUAAACCACAGAAUUUUUCUAACCAGCAAAACACGGCAGAAGUAUCAUUGGCUGCUGAAUUUCCUUCUCUACCACUCCUGAGUGGAUAUAUGAGAGUAACCAAUGGGCAGGAUCUGGUAUUUACCAUGGAGACAUCAGAAGGGGGCACUAUGGUGCAUUCAGUGGAACCCAAAAAAUCGACCCUCAAUGACAAAGGUGGUAAACAUGUUAACAGGGAGGUUGCAGAAUCUAUAGGCAGGAGGCUCCCCACGGUCUAGAAUGUGGGAGGCGGAGGUGUUGUGAUGGACCGAGAGGAGAUGAUAAAUGUGGCGUCGGGCUUGGUAGAGAUUAGACAAAUCGGUGCCGUCAGCGGCGCCACCAUUGAUGAUCUGAGGACACACGGCUGCAACAACAGACGACGAUGAGGGCGACGGCGAGGCAUGGUCGCAAAGCUACCGGGAGGAAGCGGUUUACUCAUCUGCCAACGGAGAGGACGAGCGGCGGCGGAGGCGUAGGCAGGCCGCAGCCGCCGGAAUGCCGGAUUAACCGGAGCGCGCCGGCGGGGAUGCGGCGGAGGGAGGGGAAGGGGAAGGGAAAUCACGUUCCGGGCCGAUACCGUUCUUCUGGGCCGACAGCUUCAGCCCUAAAAUGUUUCAGCCUACUAAAGCUGCAAGGCCAGAAGGAGACGCCGCGGGGACAGGCCUGCAAUGCAUACAUGCAAGGCCUUCUCCCAUAGUGGGCUGCAUUGCAGUUUAUGUGGGCCUUACUGAUCUCCUCUUACAAAAGGAUUCGGCCCACCCACAAGCUUAAUCAGGCACGACCCGAUCAUUACCGUGGGCCUUCAUCCAGCCACUAUCAUCCAAACGCAGCGAUGAUAGACACCAUAUCUAAUUUUACGAUUUUGCUAUACAUCUCACGGGUGAUUUUUUUUGACUGAUAUUUCAUGUUUUUCUAUCCAUAGGAUCCCUCGCUAGGAUUUGUGCAAUAAUUGGUGGAGGCUGCAUACGUGGAUAAUACCAUGCGUCGGAUGUGGAGGAGGCUUGCAGCUCUGUACCUGUGCCGCUGCGCGUGCUAUGCUUUCCUCCUGUGGUCAGAGUCGUCAGACAAACAUAAACAGGGGGUGUACAGUGAAUUUGUUAGUCAUACAUGAAUAUAUUGGAUAUUUGGAUUACAGCUCCCAGCGAUAACAACAGGCGCUACUAGGCUGUCCAAAUCGUGGCAUUUCAUUUCAGCAAAAA